ACGAACGCUGGCGGCAUGCCUAACACAUGCAAGUCGAACGAGACCUUCGGGUCUAGUGGCGCACGGGUGCGUAACGCGUGGGAAUCUGCCCCUCGGUUCGGAAUAACAGUGAGAAAUUGCUGCUAAUACCGGAUAAUGACUUCGGUCCAAAGAUUUAUUGCCGAGGGAUGAGCCCGCGUAGGAUUAGCUAGUUGGUGGGGUAAUGGCCUACCAAGGCGACGAUCCUUAGCUGGUCUGAGAGGAUGAUCAGCCACACUGGGACUGAGACACGGCCCAGACUCCUACGGGAGGCAGCAGUGGGGAAUAUUGCGCAAUGGGGGAAACCCUGACGCAGCGACGCCGCGUGGGUGAAGAAGGCCUUAGGGUUGUAAAGCCCUUUCAGUGGGAAAGAUUGUGACGGUACCCACAGAAGAAGCUCCGGCUAACUCCG
rnacentral:rRNA from 1 species